rnacentral:rRNA from 1 species
CCUACGGGAGGCAGCAGUGGGGAAUAUUGGGCAAUGGGCGCAAGCCUGACCCAGCGACGCCGCGUGAGGGAAGACGGUCUUCGGAUUGUAAACCUCUUUCAGCAGGGAAGACAAAAGGACGGUACCUGCAGAAGAAGCCACGGCUAACUACGUGCCAGCAGCCGCGGUAAUACGUAGGUGGCAAGCGUUAUCCGGAAUUACUGGGUGUAAAGGGUGUGGUGGCGGGGCUGCAAGUCAGUUGUGAAAAUUAUGGGCUCAACCCAUAACCUGCGUCUGAAACUGUAGCUGUUGCGAGGGGGGGAGGUAAACGGAAGUCCCGGUGUAGCGGGGAAAUGCGUAGAUAUCGGGAGGAAAAACAGUGGCGAAGGCGGUUUAAUGGACCACAACUGACGCUGAGACACGAAAGCGUGGGGAGCAAACAGGAUUAGAUACCCCGGUAGUC